GGCGGUAUUUUAAAUAAUUUGGAGGAACCUGUUGUUUAAUCGACAAUCCACGACAUAUCUCACCUAAGUUAAAUUUGUAUAUCAUCGUUUAGAAUUAUAUUUAAAAAUAUAAUUCGUUACCAGGAUAUCUUUAUAAAACAGAUCAAGAUGCAGUAUACUUAGGUUACAAUGGGUUACAAUAUAAGUUAUUAUAUAACGGAUAGAUUUAAAGAAAUUUCAUCUUGAAGGCGGAUUCAAAAGUAAAGUAAAAUUAAAAAGUUUUCUUGAUUUAUAAUUUAAAAUAUGCACACAU
rnacentral:rRNA from 1 species